AACGCAAUUGAAAAAAAAAAGAAAGAAGAAAAGGGAAGAGAAGAGUAAAC
rnacentral:ribozyme from 1 species